rnacentral:rRNA from 1 species
UACAGAGGGUGCGAGCGUUAAUCGGAAUUACUGGGCGUAAAGCGUGCGUAGACGGUUUUGUAAGUCGGAUGUGAAAUCCCCGGGCUCAACCUGGGAAUUGCAUUCGAGACUGCAAGGCUUGGGUGCGGAAGAGGGAAGCGGAAUUUCCGGUGUAGCGGUGAAAUGCGUAGAUAUCGGAAGGAACACCAGUGGCGAAAGCGGCUUCCUGGUCCAGCACCGACGUUCAGGCACGAAAGCGUGGGGAGCAAACAGG